CUGCAAAAUCCCAUGAUCAUCAAGAGGAACACAUCUUCCCCACAGAAGCAGAAGCACAGUAUGCCUAGUGUGAAAGCCCCACGCCAAAGAGCACUGAGUGUCUUUACCAACCCUUGGUCUGCACAGGACUCAGGAGAGCCAGUUUUGCUUUUCCUGGGAUCCAGAUCAUCCAGUUAAUCCACUGUCUACAGCACAGGAACCCAGGCAGAUUCUAUUUCUCCUUCCAUACAAGUUCCCCUUUCAGCCAGGAUCACUGCAUAUCUGCGAACACAGACACUGAGAAGCAGC